UAUCGUCGCUUCCUAUGGUGUCAGCACUGAGUGUGUUGUGUACAUUACCUUUGCGAUUUGGAGGCGUACAAAAUGUGCCUAUGAGAUUGCCGGGAAAAACUGGUAUGUUAGUCAUUAAAGAUUUUGCAGCGAAGCAGCCCAAGAUUAUCC